rnacentral:rRNA from 1 species
UCUUGGUUCAGGACGAACGCUGGCGGCGUGCCUAACACAUGCAAGUCGAACGGAGUAAGGGUUUCGAUUCUUACUUAGUGGCGAACGGGUGAGUAACGCGUGAACAACCUGCCUUCCUGAGGGGGAUAACACCUGGAAACAAGUGCUAAUACCGCAUAAGACCACAUAUCCGCAUGGAUGAGGGGUCAAAGGAGCAAUCCGCAGGGAGAGGGGUUCGCGUCCCAUUAGCUAGUUGGCGGGGCAACGGCCCACCAAGGCGACGAUGGGUAGCCGAGCUGAGAGGCUGAUCGGCCACACUGGAACUGAGACACGGUCCAGACUCCUACGGGAGGCAGCAGUGGGGAAUAUUGGGCAAUGGGCGCAAGCCUGAACCCCCAGCAACGCCGCGUGAGGGAAGAAGGUCUUCGGAUUGUAAACCUCUGUCCUAUGUGACGAAGGAAGUGACGGUAGCAUAGGAGGGAGCCCCGGCUAACUACGUGCCAGCAGCCGC